rnacentral:rRNA from 1 species
GACGAACGCUGGCGGCGUGCCUAAUACAUGCAAGUCGAGCGCAGGAAAUCAUCCGAACCCUUCGGGGGGACGUUGAUGGAAUGAGCGGCGGACGGGUGAGUAACACGUAAAGAACCUGCCCUCAGGUCUGGGAUAACCACGAGAAAUCGGGGCUAAUACCGGAUGGGUCAUCGGACCGCAUGGUCCGAGGAUGAAAGGCGCUUCGGCGUCGCCUGGAGAUGGCUUUGCGGUGCGUUAGCUAGUUGGUGGGGUAAUGGCCCACCAAGGCGACGAUGCAUAGCCGACCUGAGAGGGUGAUCGGCCACACUGGGACUGAGACACGGCCCAGACUCCUACGGGAGGCAGCAGUAGGGAAUCUUCCACAAUGGACGAAAGUCUGAUGGAGCAACGCCGCGUGAACGAUGAAGGCCUUCGGGUCGUAAAGUUCUGUUGUAAGGGAAGAACAAGUGCCGCAGGCAAUGGCGGCACCUUGACGGUACCUUGCGAGAAAGCCACGGCUAACUACGUGCCAGCCGCCGCAGUAA